CCCUUAGAUGUUCUGGGCCGCACGCGCGCUACACUGACGAAUGCAACGAGCUUAUAACCUUGGCCGAAAGGUCUGGGUAAUCUCCAAAUUUCGUCGUGAUGGGGAUAGAUUAUUGCAAUUAUUAAUCUUCAACGAGGAAUGCCUAGUAAGCGCAAGUCAUCAGCUUGCGUUGAUUACGUCCCUGCCCUUUGUACACACCGCCCGUCGCACCUACCGAUUGAAUGGUCCGGUGAAGCCUCGGGAUUGUGGUUGGUUUUCUUUAUUGGAGAUUGAUUGCGAGAACUUGUCUAAACCUUAUCAUUUAGAGGAAGGUGAAGUCGUAACA
rnacentral:rRNA from 1 species